UGGGGAAUAUUGGACAAUGGGUGAAAGCCUGAUCCAGCCAUGCCGCGUGUGUGAAGAAGGUCUUCGGAUUGUAAAGCACUUUAAGUUGGGAGGAAGGGCAUUAACCUAAUACGUUAGUGUUUUGACGUUACCGACAGAAUAAGCACCGGCUAACUCUGUGCCAGCAGCCGCGGUAAUAAAGAGGGUGCAAGCGUUAAUCGGAAUUACUGGGCGUAAAGCGCGCGUAGGUGGUUUGUUAAGUUGGAUGUGAAAUCCCCGGGCUCAACCUGGGAACUGCAUUCAAAACUGACUGACUAGAGUAUGGUAGAGGGUGGUGGAAUUUCCUGUGUAGCGGUGAAAUGCGUAGAUAUAGGAAGGAACACCAGUGGCGAAGGCGACCACCUGGACUAAUACUGACACUGAGGUGCGAAAGCGUGGGGAGCAAACA
rnacentral:rRNA from 1 species